rnacentral:tRNA from 1 species
AGAAAGAUGCCUGACUAAAGGAUUACUCUGAUAGAAUAAAAUAAGUGUAAAUAUUUACACUCUUUCUA